rnacentral:lncRNA from 1 species
CAUGGAUCCAUGGCUCCCUGAGCUCGCUGGCUAGGGAUUCGGCUCCUCCGCUGCUGCGGCUGCGUGGUCGUGGAGGAGGACGGCGCUGUGAGGUGAGGAAGAAAUCCCCGCUCCGCUGCUCCAGCGCCGCUCCACAUCAAGCACCACUGCCAAGCCGGUGUGGACGCACGCGGAUCCAGCCUCCACCGCCCAGAAGCUUGUCGCCGGCGCCUAAAAAUCAAGCUUUUGACCUACGGUACGGGGUGCGCUGUGGGAGGAAACGGGGUGCGUGGUGGUGGAGAGAAAGGGAAUCGAGGAGAGGCCGGUGACGGCGGCGAGGAGAGGCCGGCGAUGACGGGGAUCUGGAGGAGAGCGAGAAGGGGUGGGUGAGAGGGGGACGAAUGAGUGAGCUCGAGUGUGUGAGAGCGGUGGUGGGAGGGUAUUUCUGGAAAGUGAAAAGUAUUCGUAGCGUGAAAGGGAAAAGGGCUAAGCGGUGAGGGGAAAGUGAGAGCGGUGAGGAGAGGGUGAGACUCACAGUCACAGCUGCAAUACGAAGUAUAUUUUUUUUAGAGAUUUCAAUAAAGGACUACAUAAGGAUGUAUGAAGACAUAAUUUAGAUUAUAGAAUCACUCAUUUUGCUCGGUAUGUAGUCCAUGUUUGAACCGAGGUAUUUAGAAACGGAGGGAGUAGAACCAAGGUAUUUAGACGGUCUGUGAGGGCUAUCAAAUUUCUUAGAUGUCUGUCCUUUUAACCUUUUAUUUUCCAUGUUGCAUAUGAAUUAUGAUACUAUUCCCCGAAAAAAUGGUACUACUAUAUUUAAUUCACUUUUGCAGAAUGUGUCUUUGAUAGAUAUGGAUAUUGUUAAUUCACGUCAAGUUAUCUUUUUACAUCAUAUUUCGUAUUCCCGUGGCAACGCACGGGCAUUCAACUAGUAUGUCUACAAGAGCUGAAGAUUAUAGACCCCUCAUGGUCCCUCAAUAUCAUUCCACAUCCUGCCUCCUCUCCCAACACUGAGGCAUCCGUAUUUAAUUUCACCCGGCCAAAACCCGGCUUCACCCAUAGUGCAUCUGCAAUCACAUCUAUCUGGAGUCUUUUAUGGCUCUUUUCAAGGACUGAAUCCAGUAUCGCCUUGCCUUUGAUCGGAUCGUCACUAGGGUUGGUAUUGAUUGCAUAUAAUGAAGAAAGGUAACUGGACAGGAAACGAACAGAUACUUCCAUUGGUGGUGGCCUUUUAGGCCUUGUACAAUGCUAGGUGCUUAGGGAGGUGCUUAGAGAAAUAAACCGGCUUUUUCUGAAGCACCGGUGUCUAUUUCUACAGGAGAGACGCCUAAUUAAGCGUUUUUCAUGUACAAAUAAGCACCGGUGCUUAAGGAAAGCUUGGUUUAUUUCUCCAAGCAUCUCUUCUAAGCACCUUGCAUUGUACAAGGCCUUAUGGUGCACCAACUCGUUUCGAACAAACCAAAUCCUCCAAAACAGCAUCAUCACAAAAGCUCUGCCUUCCUCAUUUGUUUCAGCUAAAAUAUGGAUGAACCACUCAGGCCCCACAUGUUUUAGCAUGGUCCUGGAAGGGAGGUUCCACACCUUUGCCAUCAAUUUCCAUAGGAUCACUGCAUGAUUGCAGGAGCAGAAGACAUGGAACGAAUCCUCAUCUUCCCUGCCGCACACUGGGCAUAAAGGCGACACUUCCAGCUUGCGUUCAACUUUGUUGGUCCAGUUCACUAAAGAAUCAGUAGCUAAUCUCCAUGCGAAGCUCUGAACUUUUGGGGGCACCAAGCUUUUCCAUAUGUGAUUCCAAACUGCUCUCGUACCAUCCGGAGAAGAGCUUGAAGAAAGCUCCUGAUGGUUUGAGGCUUCAUCACUAGCAAGCUCCUGAUGCGGUGUGGAUUUUGGGAAGCUGGGACUCCCGGUUAGGCAAAAACACAAUUUAAAUCUCUACUAUCUAAAAGAAACAUAAGGUUCCCUCUCCCCUCUUAUGUCAAAUCUUUCGUCCAACCUUUUCUUCCACCCCUCCUUACGUACGCUCCACCUUCCCGAUUUCCUAUUUCACAUGAUUUGGCAAGCUAAUCAAUCUCUACUAUCUAAAAGAAAUGUAAGGUUCCCUCUCCCCUCUUACGUCAAAUCUUUCGCCCAACCUUUUCUUCCACCCCUCCUUACAUACGUUCCACCUUCCCGAUUUCCUAUUUCACAUGAUUUGGCAAGCUAAUCAAUGACGAUAAAAAAAACCCCAGCAAAUACUGAUCACUUUCCUCCCAAGGCCAAAAAUUGAUCUCGCAAUCCUCUCACCCCUUUGUUCUCGCGGUCCUCUCAACCCUUUAAUCUCGCAAUCCACUCAACCCUGCCGAUUUUGCAUUUCACGUGAUCUGAUCGGAAUCCCCUCGCCCCUUUAAUCUCGCAAAAAGUCUAAUGCCUCAGCCCUUACAACACUCGAGGACUCAGCCUCACGCGCAGCUCAACCUCGCCAAGCGCGGCGCGCGGGGAUCAUGGCCCCAGAGCCGCCGACGUCGCCCUCCGCCACAUCUCUCCAAACGCCGACCCGCAGGACUCGACGCAUACAUGGCCACCUCUGCCCACGACAUCCACAUGACACCUUGCAGGACUACCGCACAGACGUGCUGGCGAGUCGCCUCGUGCGCGCUCGGUGCACCAUGAGGACCACUAGAGUUGUGUCAAUGUCGUCGAAGAUCACAUGGCAGCAGGGACAUAGAUCAUGGGUAUGAUCAGGAAAAGCCACCAUUGAGCGUGCUGCUCGAGGAGAACGCGAUGCUAUUUUUGCAUGACAAGCGACCAAGAGAUUGCAUGAGAAGAACAAGGUGUUGAUGGAGCACGUGCAGUGGCGGCGGGGUGGUGCUGGAUCGCGGAUGGCUUGCGCAGCAGGACCGGUACGGUGAAGAUGGAGCGCCACACCACAAUAAUAAGAAAGGCGGUCGAGCCAGAGAUGAGCAACUACACGCUCAAUGGCAUCAUGUCCAAGUGAGCUUAUUCUCUCGUUCCAUUCUGCACUUAUUGGUCUUUUCUUUUUCUUCUUUCAGAUCUAUGAGAAAUAUGAUGUUUUGGUUUUAUAGAAUUCUUAUCCUUUAGAAGAGUUUGUUUAGUGGAUGAUCUUGAAUUGCGGAUCAUGAAAAGAUGUAAUGCUUAGGGAUUUUUGUCAGAUGAUUUCAGGAUCUUUUUUUAGUUUUAGUACGCAUCUGGAUACUAUUUGCAUGAUCAAAUCUCAAAAGAUUGAUAGUAUUUGCGAAAUCUGAAUCUGAAGAAUACAUAUAUACUGACAUGUGGCUUUGCUUCUGCCAACGACAAAGUUGUACUUUACAACACCCAGUCCUGGAUUUUAUGCAAUCGGCUUCAAGUGGUACUUCUACGGGUUACAAAGUAUGGCUCACUAUCAGUAACUAUGGCACGAAAUUAAAGAUCUAACCACAAUCAUAGGUACUGUUACGGCUGUUGCAGAUAGAUCAUGUUGCUGAAAUCAUUUCCUACUGCAGAUUUCCACAGCCAUGCUCAAGCUUUACAACAGCGAGCUCUUGACGCACUUGCUGAUCGAGCAAACCACCCUCGUGGUGCUCCUGGACAAUGUGUGUCCGACCUACACCAACCUGGAAAGACAAAUAUCAAGGGUUAUAUCAUAGUUUUCACUCUUAAAGGUUUCAUUAACUUUAUCCAUUUCACUUGAUCAUUGUUUGAUUCAUCUGCUAGAAUUGUCAUCCGUAGCAACGUAGGUAAGAAAUAAUCAACCAUUUUUUCUUUCAUUCACAUUUAUUAGAAGGGGCGCUUAUGGCUCUAAAAUUGGCACAUAGGAACGCAUCAGCUGCCUCUAUGACUUUAUUAUCACAACUGGGGAUUCCCUCCUGGAGGGAAGAUAUGUCAAUUUGUAGAUCAAUAUUAAUUUGUUUCUAUAUUUUGUGUCCAAAUUGUAUUUUGUAGUUCAUAUGGGUUGAACAUGACAUUUUCUUUUAAUUAGCUUCUGUUGAAUCAUAUUGAACUCGAAUUAUGAAUUAGAAUGCCGAACUGGGCACUACUAGAUGUGAUAAUAUGCGGCAUGAGGCAACGUGGACUUUUUCAGGGAGUCGUCUGAACUAGAACAAACCUCAUGGAUGAUAAUGGAGCAUAAGAGAGAAUUUUGUUUCACAGUCGCCAACCUCUUGACAAAAAAAAUCACAUUCACACAAUAAAUGAUGUCGUAAAAUUAUGUUUUCCUGUAGCAACGCACGGACAUUGUCCUAGUACAGUAAAAAAACAGAACAAGCAUUGUCAGCUGUGUUACUCACGUGCAAGUUUUAAGACAAAAUGACUUAUGUGAAAUUGUUGGCAAAAAAGAUAAAAAUUGCAAGUUUUUUUUUGAGAAUCUCACAAAGCUUUAUUACUGAAUCAUAAUGUUCAUAGGUACAAAAAGAAGAUCGCCGGGUUGUCCUAGCCAAGUGUGUCGGCCAAACCCUAAAGAUAACGCAUGCUUUGCGAGAUUAUGGGCCUCCGUAUUGGAGGUCCUAUACUCAUGAGUAAACGAACAUGAAAUAAAGGUAGUUGCUCUAGUCUUGAUUUCCUCGACAAUGGCUCCAAAUUCUGCUGAGCUUCCCUGUCUGAUUGCAUCUACCACCACCUUGCAAUCGGAGGCAACAAGUAAAUGGUUGAUAUAGAGAUCUUCUGAAAGUGCUAAUGCCUCCCGAACAGCUAGUGCUUCUAGCACUUGGGGGUUGUGCAGUCCUCUGAAAACGAGAGCUGACGCUCCCAUGAACAAACAUCUCUCAUCCCUGCAAACCACACCAACUGCGCCAAACGUACCUGGGCGUGACACGGCCGCGUCCACAUUGAGUUUGUAGUAAUCUGUUGGUGGUGGAAUCCACGUACGGGGUCGUGGUACUGCUAUCCCAUGUGCUUCCUCCUUCUUCUUCUUCAAAAACUCUAUGUCUGAUAAGUAAGCUUUGAUGAAGUUGUCAGUGGCAAACGGAGUCUGGUAUAUAUCCUCAUGUAUAGCUUUCCGUCUUGCACUCCAAAUCGCCCAUAAAGUAACAAUCAUCAACUGAAAUUGCUCCGGUGGAAGAGAGUCAUUCAUGGCAAAGAGCCACAGCCGUGCGUCAGGUUCUGAGGUUGCCCACAUGUGCUCGACCAUCUCGGCUUCUGAAAGUGCCCACACACACCUAGACACAUUACACUCCAGCAAAGAAUGCCGCCAGGUAUCCUGCCCUCCGCAUAGGGAGCAAGCACUCGUAGUGGCCAUAUGACGAUGGUUUAGGACAUCUCCCGUAGGGAGUGAGUGUUGCGCCAAUCGCCAAGUGAAAAAGCGCAGUUUCGGUGGCACUGACAUGUUCCAUAGCGAGUUCCACCCCCUCAUCUCAUGUUCAGAGUUGGAAGGAUCCUCCCUUUCCUCCAGCCAUGCCUCGCGCCCAAUCUUGAUCUUGACAAUCAUCUUAUAAGCUGACCGUACAGAAAAACGCCCCCUUGGAUCAUCAUUCCAUGCCCAGAAAUUGUCCACACGCCGUGUACAGAGCGGUAUUUGCAAGAUCGCCUCCACAUCAAUGGGUAUGAACACCUGUCUAAGCAAGUCCUCUCGCUAUGCAGCUCUAGUGUGGUCGAUCAGAUCAGAAACCAGUUGCGGUGGGUCAGCAACUAAGGAGGCCACCGGCUUCAUCAUUCCGUCCCUUGGGAUCCAACUAUGUUGCCAUAUGUUCGUGGUAGUUCCAUCACCAAUACGCCGGAUAGCUCCUUGGGUGAUAAUAUCUCUCCCAUCAAGUAUAGAUCGCCACACCUGAGAAGGAUGUGGACCUAGUUGAGCUUCAAGGACUGUACAUUGUGGAAAAUAUGAUGCUUUAAGGAUUUGUGCACUAAGAUAGGAGGGAUCAUUCAAUAAUCUCCAAAUUUGCCGAGACAAAAGUGCCAAGUUGAAGAUUUCUAUAUCUCGAAAGCCAAGUCCUCCCAAACUUUUCGGUCGGGUCAUCAAAUCCCAAGCUACCCAACAUGGUUUCCUCUUGCCUCUCUUGCUCCCCCACCAAAAUUGACGAAUGAGUGACGUAAUGCUUCCACAAAGGCCUCGAGGUAAUCUGAAGCAAGACAUCGAAAAAACUGGUAAAGCUUGAGCCACAGAUUUUAUGAGAACCUCCUUUCCUGCCACUGAUAAAAGUUUCUCCAUCCAUCCCUUUAUCCUUUCCCAAACUCUGUCUCGUAAAUAUUUGAAGGUGCCAUUUUUGGACUGUCCAACAUCGGUCGGCAGACCCAAAUACUUUUCACUCAAAGACUCAUUCUGCACAUUAAGUAUAUUCUUUAUCUCCACCCUAAGGGUCUUCGGGCAUCCCUUACUGAAAAAUAUGGACGAUUUAUCAUAGUUUACCCUUUGGCCCGAAGCCAAGCAAUAUGCAUCAAGUAGGUUUGAAACCUCAUUUGCCCCCUGGACACUAGACUUGAAAAGCAGCAGGCUGUCAUCUGCAAACAAAAGGUGGUUCACUACCGGAGCCGUGGGCGCCACCUUUAUGCCACCGAGCACUAAUGACUGAGAACUGUGUUUUAAAAGGCACGAAAGGCCCUCCGCUGCAAUCAAGAAUAAGUAAGGGGAAAUAGGAUCUCCCUGCCUGAUACCCCUGGAAGGUGAGAAGCUCUCUAAUCUUUCUCCAUUAAACAAGACCGAGAAUGAAACAGAAGUGAUCAUACUCAUAACUGUAUGGAUCCAAUCUGGUGCAAAGCCAAGCUUAACCAUAAUUGCCUUUAGAUAAGGCCACUCUAGUCUGUCAUAUGCCUUCAUCAUAUCAAGCUUAAGUGCACAAAAGCUGUUUGUCUUGGAUCUGUUUCUCUUCAUGAAGUGCAAACAUUCAUACGCACAAAUAAUAUUAUCCGUGAUCAACCUCCCGGGAACAAAGGCUGAUUGCUCCUUUGAGAUAAUAUCUGGCAAUAUCAACUUCAAUCUAUUCGACACCACUUUAGAAGCUAUUUUAUAAAUCACAUUGCAAAGGCUGAUAGGCCUAAACUGGGUAAGUAGAGUGGGAUUUUGUACCUUGGGUAUCAACACGAGUACCGUAUCAUUAAUGCUUGCAGCAGUCUCCUCUCCACGGACGAUCCGAAGCACCACUUUAGUUACUUCAUCCCCACAAAUGUCCCAGUGGCGCUGAUAGAAGUGUGCAGGAAAACCAUCUGGCCCCGGUGCCUUCGUAGGAAACAUCUGAAACAGGGCCUGCUUUACUUCCUCAUUUGUGUAAGGAGCGCAAAGCGAAGCAUUCAUCUCUGGUGUCACUUUCCGAGGCACAUGUUGUAAUACAUCAUCUACCCCCUGUACACCUUCCGUCGUGUACAAGGUUUUAUAGAAAUCUGUCACAAGUUGUUUCAUCUCAGCCUUGUCCUCUACUCUUAUACCCAGCGCAUUGUGUAGAGCUCGAAUCAUAUUCUUCCUACGCCGCAUAUUUGCUCUCAUGUGAAAAAAUGUUGUGUUGCGAUCACCCGCAGUCAGCCACUGUAUGCGCGAUCUUUGUCUCCACAUUAACUCCUCCCUAUGAUAGAGCUCAACCAGUCGUUCAUUCAACUUUUGCUCAAGGUGAUUUGGAGCAGUCCUAGACGGAACACUCCGAAGCCUCUCUAGCUCCGCUUUUGCCUUCUUGAUCUCCUUCCUAACACUUCCAAAAGUUGCAUCCUCCCAUGCCGAGAGGUUCUUUGACAGAAGCUCCAAUUUUCUGCGAAUCCCCUCAACUCCUUGAUCCGCUUGCAGUUUGCUCCAUCCUGAGCUGAUAGUGUCACGCCAUGAUUCAUGUGACUCCCACAUCACUUCGUACCGGAAGCUCGGUUUAGGGCGUGGUAAAACCUCUUCAAACUGUACGAGUAUUGGUCCAUGAUCCGAGGACGCCGAAGUUAAGUUUGUAACCUUGGCCAUAGGGAAAAGCGCCGCCCAAUCAGCUGUGGCCAUCGCUCUGUCAAGCCUCACGCGGGUGUAGGAUCCCCCGGUCACUUUUUUCUCAAAGGUCCAAAAUCUGCCAUGAUAGCCCAAGUCCAUCAACAUGCAAAUGUCAACCGCAUCCCGGAAACCUUGUAUUUGUGCAUUACUCCGAUUAGCAGCUCCCUCAUGUUCAUCCGGACGUAAAACUUCGUUAAAAUCGCCCAAACACAGCCAAGGGAGGUUGCUAAAAGACGCCAACCCCUUUAGGAGAUCCCAUGUUUGGUGUCUCAGUUGUGUCUGGGCCUCGCCAUACACGCAUGUCAACCUCCAUGGGUCUUUCCCUUCCUCUACCACCUUCGCAUCAAUAUGAUAAACAGAAUCACCCAAGAUCUCAACAUUUAUUGUAUUAUUCCAAAAAAUCCCUAUUCCUCCACUUCUUCCUUGACUAUCUAUCGCAUAGGCAUUAUCAUAGCCCAAAGUGUUAGCUAAAGCUUCUACACGUGCACCCUUUACUUGAGUUUCAACAAUACACAACACGGUAGGGGUAAAUUUCUUCGCAAAGUCGCGAAGCUCACAAACUGUCGCGGCUUUACCCGCGCCGCGACAGUUCCAACAAAAUGAACUCAUUGCGUUCGGCGGCACUCCUCGGAGGAGCCCGCCGAUCCAUCAUACUGGUCCUUGCCACAUUCCACUCCAUCUGUCACCAUACUCGGUGUCCCUGCAUCAGACAGCUCCUUAAACAGGGCUCCUUUAUUGCCAACAUCUUUCUUUCGUCGCUUCACCUCUUUCCUUGGAGACACAUAUACAGGUGGCAUCGGUGGAACCCCGUCCGGCUUUCCAGAGAUUACAAGAGCUGUAGAGCUCACUGGGACCACGUCCCCUUCUCCAUCGUCGCUCGACUGAACUGUCUCUGGAUGGUUCUUGUCCGAAGAUUGCCUCUUGUUACUUGCCACCACUACCCCCAGCGUUGCAGCAGUCGGUUCCUUGAUCAUACCCUUGGGCUCGCUUGGCCCCGAUACUUCUGUGGUCAUUGCAUUGUCCUCUCCUUCAUCCUGCCUCCCCGCCUCCCUGCGAGGUUCAUUCUGAUAUGCAUUGAAGCGCCAACUUUGAUUGGGGUUAUACUGCUCUCACCCCCUACCUCUUCCUCCUGCAUUCCUUGGGCCGCCUCGUCCCCUCUGGUUACCAAAACCACCUCUGCCAGGUUGCCUGAAGCGAAUAUUGUCAGCCAGAACAAAUUCACCCCACUCAAACUUUGUCUCAUCAUGAACACCAUCACCACACUCCUCGUGCCAAUGCCCGCAUUCACCACAGUUAAAGCAAAAGACAGGUAAUUUCUCGUAUUUUACUUGAUAUCUAACUCGUUCAUCCCCCUUCUUUCCAGUGACAAACCUCUUAAUUUUUGCGUUGAUAUCGUUUUCACCCUCACCCGGACAAAUUCACCAAAGAAACCUGCCGGUAGCUUGAGCUGCACUUCUUCCACCUCGCCAAUUCGCGAUGCCAUCCCCCUGACUGCAGGCUCGAUCAAAAAGUUGUCAGGUAAACGAUGGAUUUGCGCCCAAACUGCCAACUUAUCCAACUUGAUGCUAUCAGGGUUUUUGAACCCAUCAUACUCCACCAAAAUCACUGCUUGGUCUCUGAAAAGCCAUGGCCCCUCUAGCAUGGCCUUAUUCCAAUCCCCUAGACAACCAAACUGCGCUGUGAACAAGUUGUCCUUCACCUUCCUCCAGACCACCGUUUUCGCUGGAUUCCAGGCUGCACGCAUGUCCCCAUAAAGAGCAUUAGGGCUGAAAGUCCUUGUAGUGUGUACCCUGGCUAUGGCUAGCCACUUCGCCGGCGCCCCCAGAUCCGGCAACUCCUCCUCCCACACGAAAUCAUCAUCUUCCUCCUCCUGCAAAUUCAACCUGGCUAGCAGCUCCUCCGUCGUCUCCUUGCCAUGCCGCCCCUUCGAGCUUGAUCCCGACGCCAUGAACCGAGCAGUCUAGUCGCCGCCAAUGAAAACCCUAGAUCGAUUUGCCGGAGAAACCACUAUAACCAAGGCCGGGUAAGGUCACGAGGGGCCUCCCUUGAUCAGCCCGAGUCCAUGGGAUCACCAGCAGGUUCGAUCGGGGAAAAGAAGGUAAGAUCCGGCCGCGGCGCCGGAGUAUGUCGAAACCCUAGGCUAUCGCCGUCGGGGAGAGAAAACUCGCCGAGAGAAAACGACUCACGGACUCGCCCCUAUUAUCUGGAUGGAUGGAUGGAUAAUCUGGACUGGUGAAGGCGAGGGGAACCUCACGCAUCGACUCGCGGGAUCCAUCCAGGAACGCACGCAUGCAUCGCCAUCAUGUACGCAGCAGCCGCCGCCUUUGGAUGGAACCCUACGUUUUGCGUUGAUAUCGCUUGAUAAAAAUUGCAAGUACAACCUAUGUUCGGGUACAUGUGCACCACGUUCCAAGGUGUAUUUUUGACAGAUCGUGUUCUCAUAAAGCAAAACUAACAAGCAAAAGGCGACUCGUAUUUUUUUAGAUGUCCAUCCUCCAGGUUAAAUGUAGUUAAUUAGAUGCGCCUGAUGAGUGCAAAUACUCCCUCCGGUUUUUCUACUCAACAUAUAAGAUUUGUCUGGAGUCAAUCUUCAUAAAUAUUGACCAAAUUUUUCAAAAAAAAUCAAUAUCUACAAUAUUAAAGUUAUAUAUGUGAAAAUUAAUUCCAUCAUGCAUCUAAUAAUAUUCAUUUGGCACUGUGAAUGUUGAUAGUUUUUCCUAUAAACAUGGUCCAACUUUAUGAAGUCUAACUUUAGGCAAAUCUUAUAUGUGAAGUAAAAUGAAAAGGUGGGAGUAAAACCACAAUUUUAUGCACAAAUGUCACAAAAAUCUGUCAAGUGCCCUUGCAGUAGGCAGAAGAGGAUGUUCUUGGAUUGGGCUGCCGAUUACUAUAUNNNNNNNNNNNNNNNNNNNNNNNNNNNNNNNNNNNNNNNNNNNNNNNNNNNNNNNNNNNNNNNNNNNNNNNNNNNNNNNNNNNNNNNNNNNNNNNNNNNNNNNNNNNNNNNNNNNNNACUUAUUCAACAUUUUUCAAAUAUUCGUUCAACAUUUUUUAAUACUUAUUCAACAUUUUAGAAUACUUAUUCAAAAAUUUAAAAUACUUGUUCAACACUUUCUAAAAUACUCGUUCAACAAUUUUUAAUACUUAUUCAACAUUUGUCAAAUAUUUGAUCAACAUUUUUAAUACUUAUUUAACAUUUUCAAAUACAUGUUCACCAUUGCUUAAUAUUUAUUCAAUAUUUUCCAAAUAAUUGGUCAGCAUUUUUCAAAUGUGUUUCUGAAGAGCAUUUUUUGUUUAUAUAUGUAGAAUACUUUAAAGUAUAAAGAAAAAUACAAAAAUAAAGCAAAAAACUAGAACACAAAACAGAAGAAAAAAACAGGUUGUGGCCUCCCGCGUGGCUGGGCCGUCCCAUCUAGGGCUUCUCCCGACGCCAGGCUUCCCCUAUGCUCUCUUAGAGCGAAAAACAGGGGUGCACCAUCCCCCCUCCCAGGUACUCGAGUAUCAGAUACUCAAAAAAAAAGGUACUCGAGCAUCAGGACUUGAGGAGAAACCCCGUCAAAACUAUUCUUCUCCUAAUUGCCUUUUUUAGUGGGUAACUCUAUUUAGGUUGAGCGUGCUAUGUAUUGCUUAUAGCAAUAGGGAUGCAGCCAUUGUACACAAUGUUUUCCAAAAGUAAAUGGUUCCAAUAAUAUAUAAUUUUGAAAAUAAGUUUACUUCAUUUAUUAUGAAUAAAACAUUUUAAUAUACUAAAAUGAAAUUUUUAUUUGCGUGUUGCAAACAAAAAAUUCUUGCAUAUGUAAGAAAGUUUAUGCAGUUUAAGAAAAUAUUUUGUUUUUUUUAUAGAAAUGACAAUUUAUAUAUGUUAGUACGCAAGCAUGCCAAAAGUAUUCAUUUAAUUUAAGAAAUGAGUCAUGUUCUAAAAAAUGACCAUGUACUUUAAAAGUAAUCAUACAUUCCCACAAAAUAAUUGUGCAGCUUUCAAAAAUAUCUGUGUUUUUAAAAAUGCGUAUGUAAUUCUAAAAAGUGAUCACACAUUUUAACAAUGUUAUUGUAAUUACAAAAUUUCUUUCAUACUUUAAAAAAUAAUUGAAGAAAAGUUGUUCUUAUAUUAUUUAUAAAGUGUUCACUCAUUUUCAAAAUAACCGUGCGUUUAAAGAAAAAUGUUUAAACUUUAGUAAAAGGAAGAAAUGUUCUGCACAAAAUAAAUAAAAGGAAGAAACGGGAAAAUGAUAAACAAAUACAGGAAAAAAAACAGAAAGGAUCCAAGGCCUCGAGGUGGCGUAGUGCUCCCGUCAGUGCUGAACGCGUGAGUGAGGCGAUUUCAAGCCGAACGGGUUGGGGAUCUGACCGGGAAGCCGUCACGUAACACGCGAGUACUAUAUCUCGCAUCAAGGCACCUCUAGCAUCGAGGCUACAAUGAGGGAUCGAUCUAGGAUGGUACUCGCAAGGUAUGGGUACGGGUGGAGCCACCCCAUAUCCUUACCGUCCAUCCUGAACUUGUUGGAAAUAUACCCUAGAGGUAAUAAUAAAUUGGUUAUUUUCAUAUUUCCUUAUUCAUGAUAAAUGUUUAUUAUUCAUGCUACAAUUGUACUUAUCGAAAACUUAAAUACAUGUGUGAAUACAUAAACAACACUGUGUCCCUAGUAGGCCUCUACUAGACUUGCUCGUUGAUCAAAGAUGGUUAAGGUUUCCUAACCAUAUACAUGAGUUAUCAUUUGGUAACGGUAUCACAUCAUUAGGAGAAUGAUGUGCUAGUCAUACGGGAUCACAUCAUUAAUAAUGAUGUGCUAGUCAGAGCCAACCGCAAGCUUAGCAUCAGAUCGUAUCACUUAGUUAUUUGCUACGACUUUCUUCAUGUCAAGUGUAUAUUCCUUAGACCAUGAGAUUGUGUCACUCCCAGACACCGGAGGAAUAGCUUGUGUGCUAUCAAACGUCACUUUAUAACUGGGUGAUCAUAAAGGUUCUCUAUAGGAAUCUUCGAAGGUGUCUGUUGAGUUGUACAAUCGAGACUGCGAUUUGUCACUCCGCGUGACGGAGAAACAUCUCUGGGCCCUCAAGGUAAUACAACAUCACAAGAAGUUUCAUGUGACUAAUGAGUUUAGUCAUGGGAUCUUGUAUUACGAACGAAUAAAGAGACUUGCUGGUAACGAGAUUGAACUAGGUAUGUGUUGGGCAAGGUUGCAUGGAAAUUAAAAAAAAAUCUACGCACACACAAUGAUUUAUCCAUGGAGAUGCAUAGCAAUGAGGGGGAGAGUAUGUCUACGUAUCCUCGUAGACCGUAAGCGGAAGCGUUUCACAACGUGGUUGGUGUAGUCGAACUUUCUUCGCGCUCCAACAGCACGACGGCGUGGUGACGGUGAUGGUGAUCUGAUCUCCGCAGGGCGUCGCACGACACCUCCACGUUCUGCACACGUUUAGCUCGGUGACGUCCUCCACCUUCUUGAUCCAGCAAGACGAAGAGGUAGUAGAUGAGUUCCAACAGCAUGACGGCGUGGUGACGGUGAUGGUGAUCUGAUCUCCGCAGGGCGUCGCCUAAGCACUACGAAAAUAUGACCGAGAGAGUAAACGAUGGAUGGGGGCGCCGCACACGGCUAAGACAAUGUUGUGUUCUUGUGUGGCGCAUAUAUAUAGGUGGGAGGAAGGGAGGAGCAGCCAAAGAAGGCGCCUAAGUAGGAGGAAUCCUACUUGGGGUCCCUCCCAAACUGUGCCCCCUUUCCUUAUUUAGAGUGAGGGGAAAGGCAGGGGAGGGUGCCCCCCUUUCCUUUCUCCCAUGAGAGGGAAAGGCAGGAGGGGCUAGCCCUCACCCUUUUCCUUCCCUAGGGCUGGCCAAACAAGGGAGGAGGCGCACCAGCCCCCUUGUGGGCUGGUCUGUCCCCUCCUUUGGCCCACAAGGCCCAUUACUUGCCGAGGGGGUGCUCGGAACCCCUUCCGGUGACCCGAUUCCUUCCCGGUACGUCCCGAAACACUUCUGGUGUUCAAAUACCAUCAUCCUAUAUCAAUCUUUACCUCUCGGCCAUUUCAAGACUCCUCGUCAUGUCCGUGAUCUCAUCCGGGACUCCGAACAACAUUCGGUCACCAAAACAUAUAACUCAUAUAACAUUAUAUCAUCAACGAACGUUAAGCGUGCGGACCCUGUGGGUUCGAGAACUAUGUAGACAUGACCAAGACACCUCUCCGGUCAAUAACCAAUAGCGGAACCUGGAUGCCCAUAUUGGCUCCAACAUAUUCUAGAAGAUCUUUAUCGGUCGAACCGUUAUGACAACAUACGUAAUUCCCUUUGUCCAUCGGUAUGUUACUUGUCCGAGAUUCGAUCGUCAGUAUCUUCAUACCUAAUUUAAUCUCGUUACCGCCAAGUCUCUUUACUCGUUUCGUAAUACAUCACCUUGUGACUAACUCCUUAGUCAUUUGCUUGCAAGCUUAUGAUGUGUAUUACCAAGAGGGCCCAGAGAUACCUCUCUGAUACUCGGAGUGACAAAUCCUAAUUUUGAUCUAUGCCAACUCAACAAACACCUUCGGAGAUACCUAUAUAGCAUCUUUAUAAUCACCCAGUUACGUUGUGAUGUAUGAUAGCACACAAGGUAUUCCUCCGGUAUUCGGGAGUUGCAUAAUCUCAUAGUCGAAAGAAUAUGUAUUUGACAUGAAGAAAGCAAUAGCAAUAAACUGAACGAUCAUUAUGCUAAGCUAACAGAUGGGUCUUGUCCAUCACAUCAUUCUCCUAAUGAUAUGAUCCUGUUAUCAAAUGACAGCACAUGUCUAUGGUUAGGAAACCUUAACCAUAUUUGAUCAAUGAGCUAGUCUAGUAGAGGCUUACUAGGGACACGGUAUUUGUUUAUGUAUUCACACAUGUAUUUAAGUUUCCGACCAAUACAAUUCUAGCAUGAAUAAUAAACCUUUAUCAUUAAUAAAGAAAUAUAAUAUAAAAUAACAACUUUAUUAUUGCCUCUACGACAUAUUUCCUUCAGUAUGGAGAUACCGACGAUCGAAUCACGGGCAAGUAACAUAUCGCCGGACAAAGGGAAUUGCAGACGGGAUUGAUUGAAUCCUUGACAUAGUGGUUCAACAAAUAAAGAUCUCCAUGGAAUAUGUAGGAACCAUAUGGGCAUCCAGAUCCCGCUAUUGUUUAUGGACAUGAGAGGUUGUGCAUAUGUCUCUCGAUGUAGUUUUGGUGAUUGAUGACAACACGUUUGCGGACUAAUCGUGUACUUUGAGCUUUUUAGAGAUUCAUCCUUUGGCACAAGACGAUCCUUUCCCUCGGAGUUCUAAUCUAAGACAGUGUAGCUCCUUCGUUUCUGUUUUGGUGGAUAUGUUUCGUAGGAGUCACCGUACUAUCAAGAGGGGGUCUGCUUUGGUAAGGCUAGGGUGGAAUCAACACGUACACAUCCUCCUUGCACCCUCUGAACCUUCCUGCUUCGAUGGAGCUUCCAUUUUCUUCCCAAGUGUUUUUUGUCCCAGCGGUAGUACCGCGGUGCCCAGCGGUAGUACCGCUCAAGAGCCACAGGCAGUAGUACCGCUCUGCAGCGGUAGUACCGCCUGGGGGUCCUCAGCCGUAGUACCGCCGCGGUACUGGGCUUCUACCUCCUCGACUCGAGGAGGUCGCCUCUCGUGUCGGGUUGUGCGGCACUAUGCAGCGGCAGUAGAAGCGGUAGUACCGCCCUAUCUCCGCGGUAGUACCGCACAUGGUCCUUUGUCUGCCCAUCUAUUUGCCCUUCCUGACUACAUGUCAGUACCGCGAGGGGGAGCGGUAGUACUGUUGGGCCCAGCGGUAGUACCGCUGCCCCCUGCGGUAGUACCGCCCUCUGCGGGGUUGUUUUGGGGGGUAACGGUUGGUUUGUCCCCCCCUCCCCACUAUAAAAGGAGGUCUUCUUCUCCAAAGUUGACUCACCUCUUCCCCCCUAAGCUCCAUUGUUGCUCCAAGCUCCAUUUUCGCCUGAUCUCUCUCCCUAGCCAAUCAAACUUGUUGAUUUGCUCAGGAUUGGUUGAGAAGGCCCCGAUCUACACUUCCACCAAGAGAAAUUUGAUUCCCUCACUAAUCCCUAGCGGAUCUUGUUACUCUUGGGUGUUUGAGCACCCUAGACGGUUGAGUUCACCUCAGAGCCAUAGUCCAUUGUGGUGAAGCUUCGUGGUGUCGUUGGGAGCCUCCAAUUCAGUUGUGGAGAUUGCCCCAACCUUGUUUGUAAAGGUCGGUUGCCGCCUCCGAGGGCACCAAUAGUGGAAUCACGGCAUCUCGCAUUGUGUGAGGGCGUGAGGAGAAUACGGUGGCCCUAGUGGCUUCUUGGGGAGCAUUGUGCCUCUAUACCCCUCUAACGGAGACGUACUUCCCCUUAAAAGGAAGGAACUUCGGUAACACAUCCCCGUCUCCAUCGGUUCCCCUUUUGGUUAUCUCUCACCUUUACUUGUGCAAGCUUACUUUGUGUUGCCUCUCUUGCUUGCUUGUGUGCUUGUUGUUAUUGCAUCAUAUAGGUUGCUCACCUAGUUGCAUAUCUAGACAACCUACUUUGAUGCAAAGUUGAAAUUGGUUAAGAAAAGCUAAAAAUUGUUAGUUGCCUAUUUACCCCCCCCCCCUCUAGUCAACUAUAUCGAUCCUUUCAGAGGUGUCUUGGUCAUGUCUACAUGAUUCUCAAACCCGUAGGGUCGCACGCUUAACGUCCGAUGACGCUAGAGUAGUAUGGGAUAUUAGCAUUGGUGAACGAAAGUUGCUCAGAGUCCAGGAUGAGAUCCCGAACGUCACGAGGAGUUUCGGAAUGGUCCGGAGAUAAAGAUUUAUAUAUGGGAAGUCUUAUUUGGGCCACCGGAAAGAUUUCGGGUUUUGUCGGUAUUGUACGAGAGUGCCAAAAGGAUUCUGGGGGUCCACCGGGGGGUCCACCUGCCUCGAAGGGCCACAUGGGCAGCAAAUGGGACACACCAGCCCCUGGUGGGUUGGGCACCACUUCCCCACCUAGGCCCAUGCGCCUAGGGUUGGUGGGAACCCUAGAUGGGGGCGUCCCCUUGGCUUGGGGGGCAAGCGACCCCCUAGGGCCACCGCCCCCUCCUUGGAGAGGGCUCGGGCCGACGCUCCCUCCCCCCUUGUGUUGGGGAACGUAGUAAUUCAAAAAAAUUCCUACGAUCAUGCAAGAUCUAUCUAGGAGAUGCAUAGCAAAGAGACGGGAGAGUGUGUCCACGUGCCCUCGUAGACCAAAAGCGGAAGCGUUUAAUAACGCGGUUGAUGUAGUUGAACGUCUUCAUGAUCCAACCAAUACAAGUAUCAAACGUACGACACCUCCGUGUUCAGCACACGUUCAGCAUGAUGACGUCCCUCGAACCCUUGAUCCAGUUGAGGACGAGGGAGAGUUCCGUCAGCACGACGGCGUGGCGACGGUGUUGAUGAUGUUACCGACGCAGGCCUUCGCCUAAGCACUACAACGAUAUGACCGAGGUGUUGAACUGUGGAGGGGGCACCGCACAUGGCUAAGAGAACAACUAUUAUGCUUUGGGGUGUCCCCUGCCUCCGUAUAUAAAGGAGGGAGGAGGAGGCCGGCCAAGGGGAGGCGCGCCAAGGGGGGGAGUCCUACUAGGACUCCAAACCUAGUAGGAUCCCCCUUUUUUUCCUAAUCCAAGAGGGGGAAGGAGGGAAGGAAAGGGUGAGGGGAAGGAAAGAGGGGGCCGCACCCCCUCUCCCUAGUCCAAUUUGGACUGCUAAGGGGAGGGGCGCGCGCCACCUUGUGGCCUUCCCUCUCCUACUUCCUUAUGGCCCAUCUAGGCCCAUAACAUCCCCGAGGGGUUCCGGUAACCCCUCGGUUCCCCCAAAAAUGCCCAAACUCAUCUGAAACCUUUCUAGUGUUCAAACAUAGCCUUCCAAUAUAUCAAUCUUUAUAUCUGGAGCAUUUCGAGACUCCUAGUCAUGUCGGUGAUCUCAUUCGGGACUCUGAAUAAACUUCGUUCAUCAAGAACACAUAACUCAUAAUACAAAUUGUCAUCGAACGUUAAGCGUGCGGACCCUACGGGUUCGAGAACUAUGUAGACAUGAUCGAGAUACAUCUCCGAUCAAUAACCAAUAGUGGAACCUGGAUGCACAUAUUGGCUCCUACAUACUCUAUGAAGAUCUUUAUCGGUCAAACCGCAUAACAACAUACGUUGUUCCCUUUGUCAUUGGUAUGUUACUUGCCCGAGAUUCGAUCGGCGGUAUCAUGAUACCUAGUUCAAUCUCAUUACCAGCAAUUCUCUUUACUCGUUCCAUAAUGCUUCAUCCCGCAAUUAACUCAUUAGUCACAUUGCUUGCAAGGCUUAUAGUGAUGAGCAUUACCGAGAGGGCCCAGAGAUACUUCUCUGAAACACGGAGUGACAAAUCCUAAUCUCGAUCUAUGCCAACCCAACAAACACCUUCGGAGACACCUUUAGAGCAUCUUUAUAAUCACCCAGUUACAUUGUGAUGUUUGAUAGCACACAAGGUGUUCCUCCGGUAUUCGGGAGUUGCAUAAUCUCAUAGUCCGAGGAACAUGUAUAAGUCAUGAAGAAAGCAGUAGCAAUGAAACUGUAAUGAUCAUAAUGUUAAGCUAACGGAUGGGUCUUGUCCAUCACAUCGUUCUCCUAAUGAUGUGAUCUCGUACAUCAAAUGACAACACAUGUCUAUGGUUAGGAAACAUAACCAUCUUUGGUUAAUGAGCUAGUCAAGUAGAGGCAUACUAGGGACACUAUGUUUUGCCUAUGUAUUCACAAAUGUACUAAGUUUCUGGUUAAUACAAUUCUAACAUGAAUAAUAAACAUUUAUCAUGAUAUAAGGAAAUAUAAAUAACAACUUUAUUAUUGCCUCUAGGGCAUAUUUCCUUCAGUAUCCCAUUUGCACUAGAGUCAAUAAUCUAGAUUACACAGUAAUGAUUCUAACACCCAUGGAGUCUUGGUGUUGAUCAUGUUUUGCUCGUGGAAGAGGCUUAGUCAACAGGUUUGCAACAUUCAGAUACGUAUGUAUCUUACAAAUCUCUAUGUCUCCCUCCGACACUUGAUGACGAAUGGAAUUGAAGCGUCUCUUGAUGUGUUUGGUUCUCUUGUGAAAUCUGGAUUCCUUUGCCAAGGCAAUUGCACCAAUAUUGUCGCAAAAGAUUUUCAUUGGACCUGAUGCACUAGGUAUAACAACUAGAUCGGAUAUGAAAUCGUUCAUCCAGACUCCUUCAUUUGCUGCUUCCGAAGUAGCUAUGUACUCCGCUUCACACGUACAUCCUGCCAGGAUGCUCUGCUUGGAACUGCACCAACUGACAGCUCCACCAUUCAAUAUAAAUAUGUAUCUGGAUUGAGACUUAGAGUCAUCUAGAUCAGUGUCAAAGCUUGCAUCGACGUAACCAUUUACGACGAGCUCUUUGUCACCUCCAUAAACGAGAAACAUAUCCUUAGUCCUUUUCAGGUAUUUCAGGAUGUUCUUGACCGUUGUCCGGUGCUCCACUCCUGGAUUACUUUGGUACCUCCCUGCUACACUUAUAGCAAGGCACACAUCAGGUCUGGUAACAGUAUUGCAUACAUGAUAGAAGCUAUGGCUGAAGCAUAGGAAAUGACUUUCAUUUUCUCUCUAUCUUCUGCAGUGGUCGGGCAUUGAGUCUGACUCAACUUCACACCUUGUAACACAGGCAAGAACCCUUUCUUUGACUGAUCCAUUUUGAACUUCUUCAAAACUUUAUCAAGGUAUGUGCUUUGUGAAAGUCCAAUUAAGCAUCUUGAUCUAUCUCUAUAGAUCUUGAUGCCCAAUAUGUAAGCAGCUUCGCCGAGGUAUUUCAUUAAAAAACUCUUAUUCAAGCAUCCUUUUAUGCUAUCCAGAAAUUAUAUAUCAUUUCCAAUCAACAAUAUGUCAUCCAUAUAUAAUAUUAUAAAUGCUACAGAGCUCCCACUCACUUUUUUGUAAAUGCAGGCUUCUCCAAUAGUCUAUAUAAAACCAUAUGCUUUGAUCACACUAUCAAAGCAUUUAUUCCAACUCCGAGAGGCUUGCACCAGUCCAUAAAUGGAUCGCUGGAGCUUGCACACUUUGUUAGGACCAUUUGGAUCGACAAAACCUUCUGGUUGCAUCAUAUACAACUCUUCUUCCAGAAAUCCAUUAAGGAAUGCAGUUUUUACAUCCAUCUGCCGAAUUUCAUAAUCAUAAAAUGCGGCAAUUGCUGACAUGAUUCGGACAGACUUAAGCAUCGCUACAGGUGAGAAAGUCUCAUCAUAGUUAACUCCUUGAACUUGUCAAAAAUCUUUCGCAACAAGUCGAGCUUUGUAGACAGUAACAUUACCGUCAGUGUCAGUCUUCUUCUUGAAGAUCCAUUUAUUUUCUAUAGCUUGCCGAUCAUUGGGAAAAUCCACGUAAGUCCAUAUUUUGUUCUCAUACAUGGAUCCCAUCUCAGAUUUCAUGGCCUCAAGCCAUUUCGCGGAAUCUGGGCUCAUCAUCGCUUCCUCAUAAGUCGUAGGUAAUCCUGUUCUGGAAGUCUAGUAACAUCACUUCCAGAACAGGAUUACCGUACCACUCUUGUUGGGGAUAUUAUCACUAGGCGUAAACCGGCUUACUUGGGCCGGGUUAACUUCAUUAGUGAUAUAAGCAGAUGAAGGCCCAAGGCCUAUAGUCGGUUUAGAAUCUGUAGCCGUAAACCGACCUGAUGUAUAACUUGUAUUGUAAGUUAGGAAUAGAGAGAUACCAACCGGGAUACGAAUAUGAACCGGUUGGGACUCUAUGGACCGACGGGCGUCACCCGUGUAUAUAAGGGGACGACCCGGCGGCGGUUCAGGACAGACGACGACAACUCGAGCCUGGGCGAAGCUUGUUUGCUCCCUAGCCAUCGAGACCAUAUCAAUUCCAUCACAACUAGACGUAGGCUUUACCUUCAUCGAAGGGGCCAAACUAGUAUAAAACCCUCGUGUCUUUGUGUCCGCUUUAACCCCUUCAAGUAAACCCGUGGCGAUGGCUCCACGACUAAGUCCUUUCACUAGGACAUCUGCCGUGACAAAUCCACGACAGUUGGCGCCCACCGUGGGGCUAUCGCGCGAUGGUUUGACGAUCUUGGAGGGCAAGCUCAAAGGACUCGAAGGCUAUGCUGUGGGCCAGAUGACCAAGAGUCGUCGUGGCAAGAUCUACAUCGACGAUGCAGGAUGGGGUCCCGAGGCCGAUUCGAUUGAGUACGGGUACCGGGUCCCCUUUGGUGGCAUACACGUUUUCAUCGGCAAGAUCGGUGAGCCGGGGCCUGAGCUGGACAUCUGCAUCGACCUCGUCGAGACGGCUCAGCGUGCGAGAUCUACCCAGGCUAAACCGGCCGUGAAGCGUGCCUUCGUUGGAGUCAUCCACGGAGGAAGGCGUGAGGACGAGUCAGAACACGGUAGCGAGGCCGUCGUCUAUUCCGGCGACGAGUCCUCGACCGAAGAGACCGAAUCACUAAACCAGUUACAAGACGACCAGGUUAGGGGCUGUUCCGAUGGCGACAGUAUUUCGGACCCCCCAGGCCAGGUCAACCGGGUUGGAAUAUUCAUGGCCGGCACACAGGCGGCAAAUCACUCUUCGACCGCCGCAGCAAUGCUCUCCGGAUCAGCAGGGGCAGGAGGCCUUGUGUGCCCGCCGGUUCAAGUUCUAUCUGAUCUAUUUGAUACUCUAGCCGCACUCAUGGCAGAGGACAAUCCAACAGAUCAGGAGGCCCAUAAUACAGAAAUUGCAAAGGUGAGAGAGCAGAUCGUGCAAGCCAAAGCGGAUCUGGCCGCAGAAAAAGACACGAUGGCCGCAGAGCGAGCCGCUUUGGACGCCCAGGCUUAUAAGCUCAUGCUUGACCAGAACGCAUCACAGGAGGUCUUAAAGCGGAAGCACAGGUCACGCCUGCCGUUAGGGUUUGAUCCCCGGAAUCUCUUUCACACUCCAGGAGCUGGACCCAGUAAUCCGCCGCGGCACCUGGAGACAAAACCGGAUUGAGGCACCAGGACCAGGAGGGACGGUCCAACCUCGCCUGAUGGAACCUCCUCAGCAGAACAUUGUGAUUCUUCCGCCGGUCCAAACGCCCCCAGGUCAUUAUUCUAAUCCUAUGGACAACCUUGUUGCGGCCGCCGCGCGAUUAGAGGCUAUCCCAGUCGAAGGGGACUCUCCGCAAGCGAUAGAGACGCGCCGGGUUAAGGAGCUUCUCCGGACCGCGCUGAUUCAGCAGGAAGCAUACUCGUACAGCCGUGAUUGGAUUCACUCUACGCCCCGUCCAAGCCGGAGCUAUAGCAGGCGCAUGGAUGAACCGGCCAUAUCGAGCAAUGCGCGAGGCCGUGAGGCAGCCCAUGGCAAUAGCCCGGCAGGCGGUGUUCGCGACGCUCAGGAUGUGGUGGACCGGGCCCGGGCACGGAGGGAAGCCGAGUUAGCAGCGCAGGAUGAUGCAGAUCAACUUACACCGGUUCGCCCUACCACCUUCGCCGGACCAGGAGUCGCAUCCGCUUUGGGAAUGCCUUGUUUAAUCCCCGCUUUACGCAAUGUGCGCCUGCCCAAAGAUUUCAAGGGUCCACGCAAGGUGCCGAAUUACACCGCUGAUUUAUCCCCUGAAGCAUGGAUAGAGAGUUAUGAGAUGGCCAUGGAGAUGUUAGACGUGGAUGAGACCGCAUGUGUAAAAUACUUCACCAUGAUGCUUGAAGGCACGGCGCGUACCUGGUUGAAGAGCCUACCGCCCAAUUCUAUCGGCUCAUGGGCCCAGUUGCGGGCCCGGUUUAUCCAGAAUUUCAAGGAUACGUGUAAGCAGCCCAAAUCCAUAGUAGACCUGGCGGCUUGUGUCCAGGGGGAAGGAGAAUCAACGACCCAUUGGGUGUGCCGCGUUUCGGAAAUUUUGCACUCGUCCGACAGGAUUAAUGCUGACUCUGCAAUCUUAACCCUGGAAGGCAACUGCCGGUUUGAGCCUUUAAAAUUGAAAUUGGGACGCAUGAAGCGGUUCUGUAAUGACAUGGGAACCCUCAUGGCCGCUCUAGUGAAGUAUGCUGAUUCGGACAGUACCAAAGAUCCCGAGACUGAUGAUGAUGAAGCAGGGAAGGGAAGGAAGAAUAGCAACUCCAAACAGCAGCAGUAUAAACCGGCGGCUCAUGGAAACGGAGUCAAGCGCAAGGCGGAUGGCAGCAUGGACUUUGUGGCCAACACUAAUGCACAGGACAGGGGGCAGCGGCGCAGAGGUAAAGCGGCAAAUCGUAAUGGGGCUCCUAAUCCUAACGCAAGCCGCUUGAGUUAUUUGAUGAAUCAGCCUUGCCCGAAGCACGGGACGAAGGAGGCGCCGGCUAACCAUCUUUGGAAGGAUUGUUAUAUCAUGCAGGAGUUUAAAAACUCUAAUGCUUUCCGGUAUGAUCACGGGUCAGGUGGCGGUUCAGGAUCCGGUUUUCGUGGGCCGGAUCACGAUGGAGCUUCCGGUUCAGGUCGCAAUCCGGGCGGUCACAAUCAUCAGAAUAAUCAGAACAGCCAGCAGCAGCAGCAGCAGCAGUCGGGUUAUCAGAGCCAGCCAAAACAGUUGAACAAUGGGCAAUAUCAUGUUUUCACAACUAGCUUGGAUAAACGCGGCCGAAAACUCCACAAGCGAGCAGUGACUUCUGCUGAACCGGCCUUACCACGUUACUUGCGCUGGUCGGAACAGCCUAUCAUGUGGAGCAGAGAGGAUCACCCGCCCCGGGUUGAUAAUCCGGGCCAGCUAGCAUUAGUGGUGGACCCUCAGGUGGGGGGUUAUAAAUUCACCAAGGUACUCAUGGAUGGAGGAAGCAGUAUUAACAUACUAUACUAUGAGACAUUCCGUCGCAUGGGUUUAACAGACAAGGAUCUCAGACCGUCUAAUACGGUGUUCCAUGGUGUGGUGCCUGGCAAAUCUGCAUAUCCUGUUGGUAAGAUAGCCCUGGACGUGGUUUUUGGGGACGAGCACGAUCCCGGUCGGAAAAACUAACAUUUGAGGUGGUGAAGAUCCAGAGCCCAUAUCAUGCCUUGUUUGGCCGGCCGGCUUACGCCAAGUUCAUGGCGCGGCCUUGUUAUAUCUACUUGCAGCUCAAGAUGCCGGGUUACAAGGGGACAAUAACGGUUCAUGGGAGCCGUAGGGUUGCUUUGGAAUGUGAGGAAGGUGAUGCGGCUUAUGCAGAGUCGGUCUGUGCCACGGAGGAGUUGAAGUACUAUAAGGACAAUGUUGAUCCAACCGAUAUGACUCCUUUGAAGAAGCCAACUACAGAGCAUGAUUCGGAUCUGAAGUUCAAAUCGGCAGCUGAGACCAAGCUUGUUGACUUCGUGCCCGGCGAUUCAUCCAAGCAGUUCACUGUCAGUGCCAAUUUGGAUCCCAAAUAGGAAAGCGCGCUCAUCGAGUUCAUCCAUGAGAAUCGGGACAUCUUCGCAUGGAAACCAUCCGACAUGCCAGGUGUACCGAGGGAACUCGCUGAGCACACUCUUAAUGUGGAUCCUAGGUAUAAACCGGUGAGGCAAUUCCUCCGCCGGUUUAACGAAGAAAGGCGAAAGGCCAUUGGAGAGGAAGUGGCCAGGCUUUUGGCAGCUAGCUUUAUCAUUGAGGUGUUCCAUCCAGAGUGGCUUGCUAAUCCGGUGCUGGUUCUUAAGAAAAAUGGCACUUGGCGUAUGUGUGUGGAUUACACAGAUCUUAACAGGGCCUGUCCAGCGGAUCCUUUUGCCCUCCCCCGCAUUGACCAGAUCAUUGAUGCUACGGCGGGUUGUGAGCGUUUGAGUUUUUUGGAUGCAUACUCUGGAUAUCACCAGAUCAAAAUGGCGGUUAAGGACCAGGAGAAAACAGCGUUUAUUACUCCCUUUGGAGCCUUCUGCUAUGUAUCUAUGCCCUUCGGACUCAAGAGUGCCCAAGCCACCUAUCAACGGUGUGUACAGAAUUGCCUGCAUAAACAGACCGGCCGCAAUGUGCACGCCUAUGUGGAUGAUAUUGUAGUAAAAUCAAGGCAGAAGGAGACGCUGGUGGAUGACUUGAAGGAAACUUUUGAUAACUUGCGGGUUUACAAGAUGAUGCUUAAUCCGGCCAAGUGUGUCUUUGGUGUUCCGGCAGGUAAGUUACUAGGUUUCCUGGUGUCUAAUAGAGGAAUUGAGGCUAAUCCGGAGAAGAUUACAGCUAUCACCUCCCUGGCUAAACCGAAGUGCAUCAAUGAUGUUCAGCGCUUGGCGGGCCGAAUCGCCGCACUAAGCCGGUUUAUCAGCCGCCUCGGAGAAAAGGCCAUUCCUUUGUACGAAAUGCUGAGGAAGACAGACCAUUUCAUUUGGAGUCCGGCUGCUGACGAAGCAUUUGAGGACUUGAAGCGGCAGUUAGCCAAUCCGCCUGUCCUUGCAGCUCCGGUCGACAAGGAGCCACUAUUAUUAUACGUAGCAGCCAAUGCUCGGGCAGUUAGCGUGGCUAUUAUGGUGGAACGCAAGGAGGCAGGCAAGGAAUAUCCGGUUCAGCGGCCGGUUUAUUAUAUCAGCGAAGUGCUUAUUGAAUCCAAGCAAAGGUAUCCGCAUUGGCAGAAGCUGGUAUAUGGUGUUUUCAUGGCCAGUCGGAAGUUGAAGCAGUAUUUUCAAGGGCACCCCAUCACAGUGGUCAGUUCAGCUCCCUUGGGUGACAUCAUACAGAACCGGGAGGCGACUGGCCGGAUUGCCAAGUGGGCUAUAGAGCUUGGGCCACACGGACUGAAGUAUGUACCUCGGACGGCGGUGAAGUCUCAAGCACUUGUUGAUUUCAUCAAUGAUUGGACGAAGUUACAAGCACCAGAGGAGAAGCCAGAUCACACAUAUUGGACUAUUCAUUUUGAUGGAUCCAGGCAACUGGAAGGCUCGGGGGCUGGAGUCGUAUUAACUUCCCCACGAGGUGAUAAGUUUUGUUAUGUUCUCCGCUUAAUGUUCCCUUGUACUAAUAAUGCAGCUGAGUACGAAGCCUUGCUCCAUGGUCUCCGGAUGGCUAAAGAGAUGAACUUAAGCCGGGUUAAGUGCUUCGGUGACUCGGACCUCGUGGCCCAACAGGUGUCUGGCACUUGGGAUUCUAAGGACCCGCUUAUGGAUGCAUAUCGUCGGGAGGUGGAUAAUAUUGCGGGUUGUUUCAAGGGUUAUCAAGUGGAUCAUGUGGACCGUCGGAAGAAUGAAGCGGCGGACGCUUUAAGCCAGUUGGGUUCUCAGCGCAAACCGGUUCCGCCUAAUGUCUUUCUGGACGUGUUGCACAACCCGUCAGUCUGUUGGAAAUAUGCCCUAGAGGCAAUAAUAAAAGUAUUAUUAUUAUAUUUCCUUGUUCAUGAUAAUUGUCUUUUAUUCAUGCUAUAACUGUAUUAUCCGGAAAUCGUAAUACACGUGUGAAUACAUAGACCACAAUAUGUCCCUAGUGAGCCUCUAGUUGACUAGCUCGUUGUGACCAACAGAUAGUCAUGGUUUCCUGGCUAUGGACAUUGGAUGUCGUUGAUAACGGGAUCACAUCAUUAGGAGAAUGAUGUGAUGGACAAGACCCAAUCCUAAGCUUAGCACAAAGAUCGUGUAGUUCGUUUGCUAGAGCUUUGCCAAUGUCAAGUAUCUCUUCCUUUGACCAUGAGAUCGUGUAACUCCUGGAUACCGUAGGAGUGCUUUGGGUGUAUCAAACGUCACAACGUAACUGGGUGACUAUAAAGGUGCACUACAGGUAUCUCCGAAAGUAUCUAUUGUUUUAUGCGGAUCGAGACUGGGAUUUGUCACUCUGUGUAAACGGAGAGGUAUCUCUGGGCCCACUCGGUAGGACAUCAUCAUAUGCGCAAUGUGACCAAGGAGUUGAUCACGGGAUGAUGUGUUACGGAACGAGUAAAGUGACUUGCCGGUAACGAGAUUGAACAAGGUAUCGGUAUACCGACGAUCGAAUCUCGGGCAAGUAAAAUACCGCUAGACAAAGGGAAUUGUAUACGGGAUUGAUUAAGUCCUUGACAUCGUGGUUCAUCCGAUGAGAUCAUCGUGGAACAUGUGGGAGCCAACAUGGGUAUCCAGAUCCUGCUGUUGGUUAUUGACCGGAGAACGUCUCGGUCAUGUCUGCAUGUCUCCCGAACCCGUAGGGUCUACACACUUAAGGUUCGAUGACGCUAGGGUUAUAAAGGAAGCUUGUAUGUGGUUACCGAAUGUUGUUCGGAGUCCCGGAUGAGAUCCCGGACGUCACGAGGAGUUCCGGAAUGGUCCGGAGGUAAAGAUUUAUAUAUAGGAAGUCCUGUUUCGGCCAUCGGGACAAGUUUCGGGGUUAUCGGUAUUGUACCGGGACCACCGGAAGGGUCCCGGGGGCCCACCGGGUGGGGCCACCUGCCCCGGGGGGCCACAUGGGCUGUAGGGGGUGCGCCUUGGCCUACAUGGGCCAAGGGCACCAGCCCCAAGAGGCCCAUGCGCCUAGGGAACCCUAGAGGGAAGAGUCCUCAAAGGGGAAGGCACCUCCGAGGUGCCUUGGGGAGGAUGGACUCCUCCCCCCUUCCUUAGCCGCACCCCUUUCUUGGAGUAGGGGGCAAGGCUGCGCCUCCCCCCUCUCCCCUGCCCCUAUAUAUAGUGGAGGGAAGGGAGGGCAUCCAUACCUGAGCCCUUGGCGCCUCCCUCCCUCCCGUGACACCUCCUCCUCUCCCAUAGGUGCUUGACGAAGCCCUGCGGGAUUGCCACGCUCCUCCACCACCACCACGCCGUUGUGCUGCUGCUGGAUGGAGUCUUCCUCAACCUCUCCCUCUUUCCUUGCUGGAUCAAGGCGUGGGAGACGUCACCGGGCUGUACGUGUGUUGAACGUGGAGGUGCCGUCCGUUCGGCACUUGAUCAUCGGUGAUUUGAAUCACGACGAGUACGACUCCAUCAACCCCGUUCACUUGAACGCUUCCGCUUAGCGAUCUACAAGGGUAUGUAGAUGCACUCCCCUUUCUACUCGUUGCUGGUCUCUCCAUAGAUAGAUCUUGGUGUUACGUAGGAAAUUUUUUGAAUUUCUGCUACGUUCCCCAACAGUGGCAUCAUGAGCUAGGUCUAUUGCGUAGAUUCUUUGCACGAGUAGAACACAAAGUAGUUGUGGGCGUUGAUGUUGUUCAAUAUGCUUACCGUUACUAGUCCAAUCUUGUUUCGACGGUAUUGUGGGAUGAAGCGGCCCGGACCGACCUUACACGUACUCUUACGUGAGACAGGUUCCACCGAUUGACAUGCACUUGGUGCAUAAGGUGGCUAGCGGGUGCCAGUCUCUCCCACUUUAGUCGGAACGGAUUCGAUGAAAAGGGUCCUUAUGAAGGGUAAAUAGCAAUUGGCAUAUCACGUUGUGGUCUUGCGUAGGUAAGAAACGUUCUUGCUAGAAACCCAUAGCAGCCACGUAAAACAUGCAAACAACAAUUAGAGGACGUCUAACUUGUUUUUGCAGGGUAUGCUUUGUGAUGUGAUAUGGCCAAAAGGAUGUGAUGAAUGAUAUAUGUGAUGUAUGAGAUUGAUCAUGUUCUUGUAAUAGGAUUCACGACUUGCAUGUCGAUGAGUAUGACAACCGGCAGGAGCCAUAGGAGUUGUCUUUAUUUUUUGUAUGACCUGCGUGUCAUUGAAGAACGCCAUGUAACCUACUUUACUUUAUUGCUAAACGCGUUAGUCAUAGAAGUAGAAGUAGUCGUUGGCGUGACAACUUCAUGAAGACACGAUGAUGGAGAUCAUGAUGAUGGAGAUCAUGGUGUCAUGCCGGUGACAAGAUGAUCAUGGAGCCCCGAAGAUGAAGAUCAAAAGGAGCAAAAUGAUAUUGGCCAUAUCAUGUCACUAUUUGAUUGCAUGUGAUGUUUAUCAUGUUUAUGCAUCUUGUUUACUUAGGACGACGGUAGUAAAUAAGAUGAUCCCUCAUUAAAAUUUCAAGAAGUGUUCUCCCCUAACUGUGCACCGUUGCUACAGUUCGUCGUUUCGAAGCACCACGUGAUGAUUGGGUGUGAUAGAUUCUUACGUUCACAUACAACGGGUGUAAGACAGUUUUACACAGCGAAAACACUUAGGGUUAACUUGACGAGCCUAGCAUGUACAGACAUGGCCUCGGAACACGGAGACCGAAAGGUCGAGCAUGAGUCGUAUAGUAGAUACGAUCAACAUGAAGAUGUUCACCGAUGAUAACUAGUCCGUCUCACGUGAUGAUCGGACACGGGCUAGUUGACUCGGAUCAUGUAAUCACUUAGAUGACUAGAGGGAUGUCUAUCUGAGUGGGAGUUCAUAAGAUGAACUUAAUUAUCCUGAACAUAGUCAAAAGACCUUUUGCAAAUUAUGUCGUAGCUCGCGCUAUAGUUCUACUGUUUAGAUAUGUUCCUAGAGAAAAUAUAGUUGAAAGUUGAUAGUAGCGAUUAUGCGAUCAGUAGAAAGCUUAUGUCCUUAAUGCACUGCUUAGUGUGCUGAACCCCAAACGUCGUUUGUGGAUGUUUCGAACAUCGAACAUACACGUUUUGAUAACUACGUGAUAGUUCAGUUAAAUGGUUUAAGUAGAGGCACCAAAGACGUUUUUCGAAACGUCGCGGAACAUAUGAGAUGUUUCGAGGGCUGAAAUUGGGAUUUCAAGCUCGUGCCCACGUCAAGAGGUAUGAGACCUCCGACAAUUUUCUUAGCCUACAAACUAAGGGAGAAAAGCUCAAUCGUUGAGCUUGUGCUCAGAUUGUCUGAGUGCAACAAUCACUUGAAUCGAGUGGGAGUUGAUCUUCCAGAUGAGAUAGUGAUGUUUCCCCAAAGUCAUUGCCACCAAGCUGCUAGAGCUUCGUGAUGAACUAUAACAUAUCAAGGAUAGAGAUGAUGAUCCGCGUUGUUUGACAUCGCGAAAGUAGAAAUCAAGAAGGAGCAUCAAUUGUUGAUGGUUGAUGAAACCACUAGUUUCAAGAAGGGCAAGGGAAAGAAGGGAUACUUCAUGAAACGGCAAAUCAGCUGCUGCACCAAUGAAGAAACCCGAGGUUGAACCCAAACCCGAGACUAAGUGCUUCUGUAAUAAGGGGAACAACCAAUGGAGCAGGAUUACCCUAGAUACUUGGUAGAUGAGAAGGCUGGCAAGGUCAAUAGAAGUAUAUUGGAUAUACAUUAUGUUAAUGUGUACUUUACUAGUACUCCUAGUAGCACCAGGGUAUUAGAUACCGGUUCGGUUGCUAAGUGUUAGUAACUCGAAAUAAAAGGCUACGGAAUAAACGGAGACUAGCUAAAGGUGAGCUGACGAUAUGUGUUGGAAGUGUUUCCAAUGUUGAUAUGAUCAAGCAUCGCACGCUCCCUCUACCAUCAAGAUUAGUAAUAAACCUGAAUAAGAGCUCUUGCACCUAAAGGAAUGGUUUAUUGAAUUUUGAUCGUAGUGAUACACAUUUUCAUGCCAAAAGAUAUAAGAUAGUAAUGAUAGUACCACUUACUUGUGGCACUGCCAUGUAAGUCAUAAUGGUAUAAACGCAUGAAGAAGCUCCAUGUUGAUGGAUCUUUGGACUCACUCGUUUUUGAAAAGUUUGAGACAUGCGAACCAUGUCUAUUGGUGUAUAUGCAUGAAGAAACUCCAUGCAAAUGGAUCGUUCGGACUCACUUGAUUUUGAAUCACUUGAGAUAUGCAAAUCAUACCACAUGGGCAAGAUGACUGAAAAGCCUCAUUUUCAGUAAGAUGGAACAAGAUAGCAACUUGUUGGAAGUAACACAUUUUGAUGUGUCCAAUCCAAUGAGUGCUGAGGCAUGCAGUGAAUAUCAUUAUGAUCUUACUUCACAGAUGAUUCGAGUAGAUGUUGAGAAUAUUUACUUGAUGAAACACAAGUCUGAAUUAUUGAAUGGUUCAAGUAAUUUCAGAGUGAAGUAGAAGAUCAUUGUGACAAGAGGAUAAAAUGUCUAUGAUAUGAUCAUAGAGAUGAAUAUCUGAGUUACGAGUUUUGGCACACAAUUAAGACAUUAUGGAAAUUGUUUCACAAUUAAAUACCGCCUGGAACAGCAUAGUUUGAUGGUGUGUCCGAACAUCAUAAUUGCACCCUAUUGGAUAUGGUGCGUACCAUGAUGUCUCUUAUCAAAUUACCACUAUCGUUCACGGGUUAGGCAUUAGAGACAACCACAUUCACUUUAAAUAGGGCACCACGUAAUUCCGAUGAGAUGACACCGUAUGAAUUAUGGUUUAGAGAAACCUAAGUUGUCGUUUCUUAAAGGUUUGGGGCUGCGACGCUUAUGUGAAAAAGUUUCAGGAUUAAGCUCGAACCCAAAGCGGAUAAAAUGCAUCUUCAUAGGACACCCAAAACAGUUGGGUAUACCUCCUAAUUCAGAUCCGAAAGCAAUAUGGAUUGUUUCUUGAAUCGGCUCCUUUCUUGAGGAAAGGUUUCUCUCGAAAGAGUUGAGUGGGAGGAUGGUGGAGACUUGAUGAGGUUAUUGAACUGUCUCCUCAACUAGUGUGUGGCAGGGCACAGGAAGUUGUUCCUGUGGCACCUACACCAAUUGAAGUGGAAGCUUAUGAUAUUGAUCAUGAAACUUCGGAUCAAGUCACUACCAAACCUCGUGGGAUGACAAGGAUGCGUACUACUUCAGAGUGGUACGUAAUCCUGUCUUGGAAGUCAUGUUGCUGGACAACAAUGAACCUACGAGCUAUGGAGAAGCGAUGGUGGGCCCGGAUUUCAAUAAAUGGCUCGAGGCCAUAAAAUCCGAGAACGGAUCCAUGGACUUUGGUGGACUUGCCCGAUGAUCGGCAAGCCAUUAAGAUAAAUGGAUCUUUAAGAAGAAGACGGACGCGGAUGGUAAUGUCACCGUCCAUGAAGCUCGACUUGUGGCGAAAAGUUUUCACAAGUUCAAGGAGUUGACUACGAUGAGAUUUUCUCAUCCGUAGCGAUGCUUAAAGUCCGUCGGAUUCAUGUUAGCAUUAGCUGUAUUUAUGAAAUCUGGCAGAUGGAUAUCAAAACGAGUUUCCUUACCAGUUUUCGUGAGGAAAGGUUGUAUAUAAUACAAUCAGAAAGUUUUUGUCGAUCCUAAGGAUGCUAAAAGGUAUGCUAGCUCCAGCGAUCCUUCUAAGGACUGGAGUGAGCAUCUCGGAGUUGGAAUGUACGCUUUGAUAAGAUGAUCAAAGAUUUUGGUGUAUACAAAGUUUAUGAGAAACUUGUAUUUCCAAAGAAGUGAGUGGGAGCACUUUAGAAUUUCUGAUGAGUAUUUGUUGAUCAGAAAUGACGUAGAAUUUCUAGAAAGCAUACAGGGUUAUUUGGAAAGUGUUUUUCAAUAGAAAACCUGGAUUAAGCUACUUGAACAUUGAGCAUCAUGAUCUAUAAGGAUAGAUCAAAAUGCUUAAUAAUACUUUCAAAUGAGCACAUACCUUGACAUGAUCUUGAAGGUGUUCAAGAUGAACCAGUCAAAGAAGGAGUUCUUGCCUGAGUUGUAAGGUACGAAGUUAAGACUUAAAGCUCGACCACGGCAGAAUAGAGAGAAAGGACGAAGGUCGUCCCCUAUGCUUAAGACGUAGGCUCUUCAGUAUGCUAAGCUGUGUACCGCACCUGAAGUGUGCCUUGCCAUGAGUCAGUCAAGGGGUACAAGAGUGAUCCAUGAAUGGAUCACAGGACAGCGGUCAAAGUUAUCCUUGGUAACUAGUGGACUAAGGAAUUUUCUCGAUUAUGGAGGUGGUAAAAGAGUUCGUCGUUAAGGUUACGACGAUGCAAGCUUGACACCUAUCCGGAUAGCUCUGAGUAGAGAGACCGGAUACAUAUAAUGGAGCAAUAAUUUAGAAUAGCUCCAAGUAGAACAGUUGUUUGGAAUAGUUCCAAAUAGAGCGUGGUAGCUGCAUCUAGGAGAUGACAUAGAGAUUUGUAAAG